GUUGGAUGUCCUUUUAUUAUUUUGCAGUCUUCCCUUGGGUACAUAACUUCUCUCAAUUUAUUCACAUCUGCAAAUUCUGUUAAUGAGCUGUUUGCUUCCACCUCCAGAACACUAAUGAAGAUUAAUUAAAGCUAGGUUCUGCACUAGCCCUUUGCAUCCUUAUUCUUCAGGAUAUCACACCACUGAUUCAAAUGAAGUUUCACCAACAUAAAAAUGGGGGAACUGUGGAGAUUCAGACCCUGUGGUUUGAAUAGCUAGAAAUGUGAAGAAGACAUGCUUCAUGAACCCAUGGUCUUCUACCAGGGCACAGAAGACUUUGAUUUUGCUUUAAUCCAUGAACAGCUGGGAGUGGGAUUUUUGUUCCAUACACUGUGUAGGAAGAGAAUUAUGCACCUAAGAAAUAUUAGCUAACAGAAAGCUACAAGUUUACUGGCAUGAGAGUUGGACUUCAGUAGCAGUGGAAUUUAUGCACUUGAAAUGUCAACACCAGCAUCAGAAAUAUUUUGAAGAUCUUGAUGAGUCUUAACAUGAUAUUUUAAACUGCUCAUUUCCUGACUACAGCCACUAAAUAAUAUGGCCCAGUUUGGUUACGACCCAUAGGUGCUGGAAACCUUAAACUCCAAAAGACCACUUCUCCACAAAAUAUCUGUUUGGAGUUGAACUUCAAAAAAAAUUGCUCAAAAAGCAAAUAUCUGGCUUGUCAGAUGUGACAGCUGGAUAGAAAUGAAGACCCUUACCCACCACAGUAACGUGUUUUGUUGAUAUUAAUGUCUGGAUUUCUAUUCCCCCACCUUCCUUCCCCUUCUAUUUUUUUAUCAGCUCAGCAG